AGGAUAGCAAAAGGAUGUUUAAUAAAAAAAAAUUGCCUUUCAGGGGAAAAAAAAAAGGAUUUUCGAUAAGAAUACACAAUUGAGCAUAUAAAUUUAAAGAAGGAAAGAUGUUGAACAAUUAUCGUUAUUGAACUUUUGUUACUACGAGACCCUGGAGUGGAUUGACGGAUUUGCUCUCCACAUGAUUAAGUUUCUUGAAUGACUGCGACUAAAAGAAUAUACGACGGCGGAAUAUAGAAGCUCCUAAGGUUGGGAGCGUGUACUUAUAUUAUGAAAAUAAUGUAGCAAAGAGUAUUCACUUUAAAAAGUAUAAUAAUUUAAGAAGUAAAAAUAUGAACCAAGUCCUCCAUAAGUGUAAGAAAUGGGCUAGUGGCUAGAUAUAUGAGUUCAUCAAAGACCAAUUAAUAAAGCCAAGUGAUAGAUCCUUGUUUUUCUAUACAAAUAUAAUAUAAAAGCUCCCAUCUUCGUACGGAGCGAGCUCCCACCUCGAUGGGAGCGGGCUCCCGUCAAGCUCCUUAGUUGGGAGCGCAAAAGCGGGCUCCCAAGGUGGGAGCAGCACCACUUUAGGAGCUCCCUGCAACUAAGGAAUGGAUGCCCACACCUCUAAAUCCAGGGAAACAAAAUCCAAAAAAAUUAAAAGGGCUUCUUGGUAAGAGUCUGAAUGAAGAGAGAAGGCCCUUCAGCUCAUGAUAAGGAGUAAGGAGACAUGGACCGAAGAAAUAUUCUUCUUAAAACUAAUUUUUUCUUUCCAUGAUAAUUAGAGCAUUCGAUACAUAAUAUAGUAAACUCUAAUUACUAAUUAUGCUUGCUGCAUGGGUGUCACAUCUUGGACACCCUUGACAACCAAUGGAGUGUCUGAAGUGUAUUUCCUACAUUCAAAGAAUCCAUGUAACAUGUUUGAAAGCAACGAGAAAAUUCUUUUGCUGAUGGUUCGAAAUAAAAAAAAAAUGGUCAAAAGAUCAAGUAGAAUUAUAAAACCAUCCACUAUGCGAAAGAAACAAAAGCCAAGAAAAAGAAUUACCGAGUAAAACAAUAUAACCCAUACAUUUUUCCCAUAGUCACACUCUCAAAUAUCCAGAAACCAGGAACAAUAAUUGUUUUUGUUGGUAAUCUUAAACUACAAAUAAGCAUUUAUUGGUUAAUAGUAGCUCAAAUAAAGAAACUGAUACUAACUGGAGCGUUGAUGGGAGGUCUCCUCUCACUCUUUGUUUGGUUAGGCACGGGGUGAGGGGAUUGUGUGUUUAAUGGAGUUUGAUUGUCAAGCAUAACACAGUUUACACUGAAGAGUGAAAAUUCAGCCAAAGAUCAAAGAAUCAACAAUCAAAGUCCAAGGAGAAAAUUAACCUAUGAAAUUACGAACUUUGUUUUGGAGGAAAGCGGAAGGAAAUAAAAUGAAGGGAAAAUACCAAAUUGAAACUUAAUCAUUUUUUCG